AUCCGAUUUUCCCAUUUUUCUUAUGUUUUUCUCAGUUUUCUCGUGUUUUUCUCCGGUUUUUACAUUUGCUGGAAAAACUCUUGGGAAAAUCGAAAAAUGACCUUCUUAAAGUACUUCUCUAGUCAGCUAUCCUUUUAGAAAAAGUGCUAUCAAUGUAAAUCGGAGCAAAAUUGCUGGAAGAAAAGUUGUCCACAAAAAAAAAAUAUCGUAAUAUUUCACUAAUAUAUUUCGUACAUUUUCCCGUUUUUUUUUUUCGGUUCGUCACAUUUGAUAUCUGUUUGUUU